rnacentral:rRNA from 1 species
CACAAGCGAGGAGCAUGUGGUUUAAUUCGAUGAUACGCGAGGAACCUUACCUGGGCUCGAACGUAAGAUGACUGUAGGUGAAAGCUUACAUCUCUUCGGAGCAUUUUACGAGGUGCUGCAUGGUUGUCGUCAGCUCGUGCCGUGAGGUGUCGGGUUAAGUCCCAUAACGAGCGCAACCCCUACCUUUAGUUGCCAUCAGGUAAUGGCUGGGGACUCGUAAAGGAACUGCCUACGCAAGUAGUGAGGAAGGUGGGGAUGACGUCAAAUCAGCACGGCCCUUACGUCCAGGGCUACACACGUGCUACAAUGGCCGGUACAAAGGGCAGCUACCUGGUGACAGGACUGCGUAAUCUCAAAAGACCGGUCUCAGUACGGAUUGGAGUCUGAAACUCGACUCCAUGAAGUUGGAAUCGCUAGUAAUCGCGCAUCAGCAUGGCGCGGUGAAUACGUUCCCGGGCCUU